rnacentral:rRNA from 1 species
CGGGGGGGGCAAGCGUUGUUCGGAAUUACUGGGCGUAAAGGGCUCGUAGGUGGCCAACUAAGUCAGACGUGAAAUCCCUCGGCUUAACCGGGGAACUGCGUCUGAUACUGGAUGGCUAGAGAUUGGGAGAGGGAUGCGGAAUUCCAGGUGUAGCGGUGAAAUGCGUAGAUAUCUGGAGGAACACCGGUGGCGAAGGCGGCAUCCUGGACCAACACUGACGCUGAGGAGCGAAAGCCAGGGGAGCAAACGGGAUUAGAUACCCCGGUAGUCCUGGCCCUAAACGAUGAAUGCUUGGUGUGGCGGGUAUCGAUCCCUGCCGUGCCGAAGCUAACGCAUUAAGCAUUCCGCCUGGGGAGUACGGUCGCAAGGCUG